rnacentral:lncRNA from 1 species
UUACCUGUAGCCCUGGAGAGACGAAAAUGUAUUUACUUACUGUUCAUUGCUGAUGAAAUACACAUAGGAUUGGCCAGAACUGGUAGAUGGCUAGCUAUUGAUCAUGAAAAUGUCAGACCUGAUAUAGUCCUCCUUGGAAAGGCCUUUUCUGAGGGCUGAUACUCUGUGUCUGCAGUGCUGUGGGACGAUGACAUAAUGCUGAGCAUUAAGCCAGGCGACCAUGGGUCCACAUACGGUGGCAAUCCACUAGGCUGCAACAAAAUGGGUAUUCUCUUGAGAAAUGAACCCAUGAAGCUACCUUCUGAUGCUGUAACUGCUGUAAGAGGAAAAAUAAUUAUUAAUUUCUAUUGUUAUUAAAGAAACCAAAGAUUGUGAUGCUUGGAAGGUGUGUCUACGACUUCAAGAUUAUCCACUUCUGGCCAAGCCAACCCAUGGCGACAUCAUCAGGUUUCGCCUCCGCUGGUGGUGAAGGGGGAUGAGAUUCAAGUCCAGUGAAAUCAUUAACAAGGCCAUCUUGUCGUUC